GAUGAACGCUGGCGGCGUGCUUAACACAUGCCAGUCGAACGGAAAGGCCAUGAGUUUGCUCCUUUGACGUUAGCCGCACGGGGGAGUAACACACGUGUAUCACCUCCCUAUAUUACUGAUAUCUUUUGGAGACUGCGGCUCAAAUCGCAUAUGAUCUACUGCUGCACGUUGGUCGUUAGAGAGUUACGGUGGUGCGGUCUGUUCUAGAUGCUUACCGGCUGCUUGAUGUGGUUGUUAAGGUAACGGCCUACGAAGGCGACGAUGCGUAGCCGACGUGAGAGGGUGAUCGGCCACACUGGAACUGAGACACGGUCCAGACUCCUACGGGAGGCAGCAGUAGGGAAUCUUCCGCAAUGGGCGAAAGCCUGACGGAGCAACGCCGCGUGAGUGAUGAAGGUCUUCGGAGCGUAAAACUCGGUUAUUAGGGAAGAACAAAUGUGUAAGUAACUAUGCACGGCUUGACGGUACCUAAUCAGAAAGCCACGGCUAACUACGUG
rnacentral:rRNA from 1 species